rnacentral:rRNA from 1 species
GUAGGUGGCAAGCGUUGUCCGGAAUUAUUGGGCGUAAAGCGCGCGCAGGCGGGUCCUUUAAGUCUGAUGUGAAAGCCCACGGGCUCAACCGUGGAGGGUCAUUGGAAACUGGGGGACUUGAGUACAGAAGAGGAAAGCGGAAUUCCAAGUGUAGCGGUGAAAUGCGUAGAGAUUUGGAGGAACACCAGUGGCGAAGGCGGCUUUCUGGUCUGUAACUGACGCUGAGGCGCGAAAGCGUGUGGAGCAAACAGGAUUAGAUACCCUGGUAGUCCACGCCGUAAACGAUGAGUGCUAAGUGUUAGGGGGUUUCCGCCCCUUAGUGCUGCAGCUAACGCAUUAAGCACUCCGCCUGGGGAGUACGGCCGCAAGGCUG